rnacentral:rRNA from 1 species
CUUACAAUGAAAAUAACCCUUUGGGCAUUUUCAUAAAGGUAGUGACGGGUAAUAGGAUAAUAAGAUUUUUUAGUUGUACCUUUUGUAUCAGGGGAAGUCAAAAGUUCUGUAAGUAGAGAAUCGAUUCAACUAGAUCUUUGUUAUUAGAGUAGAGUGAAAUUUAGGCUCAAUAAUAGGUAAGGAGUGAAAUGUUAGCGGUAGUUGAGGUAUCUAGUUGCUGUGUGCAAGUGGGGGGUAAGCUCUCACUUUUCCGUAAAAAAUGACGCUUUGUAGAGCUAGGCUUUAAAUUAGCCAUGUUAAGAUAUUGUUUUUAAUAAUUUGUCCUGUGUGUGAGAGAUGGAGUGUUAAGCUACAAGGAUAGCCCACGUCCUUUUAAAAUAAUGAAUUUAUUGAAUCUGAAGCGGAGCUAUAAAAUAACUCAUAUUACGAGGGAUAGUUUAGCAAAAACAUUUCUUUCCAUUUAGAAAGUAAAGCCUGCCCGGUGCGCAGUAAACGGCUGCGGUACUUUAACCGUGCGAAGGUAGCAUAAUCAAUUGUCUUUUAAUUGAGGGCUGGAAUGAAGGGUUAAACCCUUGUAAUAAGUUUGUAGGUUAAAGAGGAUAUUUAAGUAGAGGUCAGAAUACCUUUAGCUUCUAGGGGACGAUAAGACCCUAGAAGCUUUAUUAAAGGCUAUCUAGUAGUGGUGGACAUAUGUUUUUUUUACUGGGGCGGUAGCAGUAAGUGAACUACUGUUUAUUGAUAGAUCCUCUUAUAGAGAUAAUGCGGAACAGUUACUUUAGGGAUAACAGUACAAUAGUUUUGAAGAGACCACAUCGAUAAAUAUGCUUGUAACCUCGAUGUU